GACCUACUUCUUCCAACUAGGUCCCACCUCCCGGUAGUUUAUUUAGUCAUGAAUGAAUUAAUCCACUGAUGAGGUCAGAGUCCUUAUGAUGUCAUUACUUCCUAAAAUCCCACCUCUGAACAAACACCUAAGACUUUGGGGGGCAUUCUAGACCCAAACCAUAUGAGCACUUACAGAAAACUUGGAAUAGCUUCUGUCAAGCCAAUUUCUUAUCCUUCAUGGGCACGUGCCUGGCUAUAUUUCUUAACUUCAUUUGAUUCAAAGUAUGCUAUAGAGUCAAAGUGGACUGAUGGAACCAGUUAUGUGCUCACGCUUCACUGUCAGGUGGCUGAGAAAGUGGACGCCUCCAUGGCCAUCUCCUGGAAAGUGUUCUGUGUGAGAUUAUCGCCUACAUGCAAGCGACAUACCACUCCAAGGAAGCUGGGAUUUGAAGUAAAGCAGCAAGUUUCUACCGCACUAUUUUGACUUCACAGAUAUUUUGACUUCUGUUUCUGAUUUGUUUUUACAGAUUAAUAAAAAUAUACUAUUUGAUAGCAAAUUCA